GUUGGUAGUGUGUGCAUUGCAUUGCUUAACGCUAUUACGGCCUGCGAUAUCGGAAUUAUUCGCUGAAUCAGCGGAAAAGUUUUCAACUUACCUGCCAAGAGCACGAUGCGCCGGGGCAAGGACAACUGUAAGGGCGAAAUUCGCAGAUCUCUUCGUGCUCGGCUUUCUCGUUCAAUCCUAAGGACAUCCUACAACCCGUGGACUUGUGUUUGCAGGGAAACAUGAGGUUAUUGGCCACUUUUUCCAUCGCCAAAUUUCUAAUGUUACCUAAACAGAAAAAAUUACAUUAAACUUUACUACAAUGUCAUUUGAAAAUCCAAUUGACCUCAUCAAGUAACGCUAAAGCAAUAACCCCUUCUGAUUGGUUUCCGCGAAAACUUAAUACUCAAAAUACUGAAAAGUGAAAAAAAAAUUACCGAGUGUUCCACGGCAAGUUGGGCAGCAAGACAAUUUCGGGCGACAACUAGCACAGACCAAGUGGCCAACUUGACAUUGCAUUAUCGGAGGAAGGACGAUUUCAAAACAAACAGGGCACUCAAAAA